UAUAUUAAGUUGUUGCAGUUAAAAAGCUCGUAGUUGAAUUUCGGGAUCAAUAUGUCGGUCGUGCCUUCGGUACGUACUGGUAUCAUUGGUUUCUCCUUUCUGACGAACCAUGAUGUCAUUAAUUUGGUGUUAUGGGGAGUUAGGACUGUUACUUUGAAAAAAUUAGA
rnacentral:rRNA from 1 species